GCCUCCACGCUCCAGUGAGAAUGCCCCUCAAAUCAUUAGUGAUCCAAAGGAGCAGGUAUCAAGCACACUUUUAAGUAGCUCAUAACACCUU
rnacentral:rRNA from 1 species